CUUUUUCUAUUGUUUUGCAAUAAAUGUAGUUGGAAAAAGACACUUAUUUGCCAGUAACAAAAAUCGUGUUACACAGUGAAUUCGGACCCCAUUUGGCAGU